CAAUGUAUCAAGCAUUAUUGAUUAAAAUUUUGCAUAGAGCAAAUCAUGCAUUUCAAAGUUUAAUAGUACCAAGAACACCAAAACAUCCAUUGGUUUUAGUGUUCUAGGGUCACUUCCUUCAAAUUUCCUAUUUUUAUAUAUUCUAAAUAUAUUUGAGACCUAGACGAGUUGCUAAAGUCCAACUCAGGAGGGGCGAGCAGUUUCAGCGGAUACUACCGAUUUUUAAUACCUCGUCUAUAAAAUUUAUAAUUUAUAUGAUGAUGCAUGCUAACGCUAAUGAAAACAAAGUACCUUGAGUGAACAACACAUGAGGGCGUCAGGGUGGUGCCAAAGAGACUUGAGAAGAUCGGUUCCAUCAGGCUUAACUAGUUCAACGCCAAGGUAACAUCUAUACGAAUGAGAAAUCCAACGAGCGAGUGUGUGAGCUUCUGGUGAUGCAGGUGGUGGACGCAGGCCGCCACUUAGCUGAUGAGAAGAAGGAGAGAGAGCAAGCGCCACUCGUUGGACCGAUGCGAUCACACUUCUCACAUAUUGUCUAGCCAUUGAAGCUACAUUCUCUUGCAUAUGCAUCUCAAAAGCUAGCUGAAAUGCUAUUGUCAUCACUGACUUUGUGUUUCCUCUGCUUCCACAAGAGUCUCCGGCUGUUCUGCUCCCUACGUCUAGAGCCGAUGCUAGGUCUAGCGUUCGGUUAGGACUCACUCCCUCCUAUAACAAAAUUAUUUGGAUUCAAUUAGUACAUGAUUUGACUGAAGUUGUUGAUUGUGAUUCUGAUAUGGACUGCACGUACUGAUUUGGUAUCUAGUGGAAUGAUGCGGAAUCCUGAAGGGAUGAUUGGGGCAUCAUCAGAGAAUGAGGCAUCAAUUGGUGCAAAGAUGAGCUCUGCGCAAGAUUCAACUGCGUUCUCAUCCACCCCACUGCACAUCUAUAUCAUUAAACCAUAAAUUUUAUGUUAGAAUCAUAAGAAUAGUUAGUUGCAAGAAGAUGAAUCACUGAGAAGCAGAGGAAACUCAAAACUAAUCCCAAGAAUAUGAAGAAGAGAUUUACGUUUCAAUUAUUAUGUUGAAUUUGUAUUUUUUUAAAGAUGUGAAGUUUUUUGAGAAAUAUUUUGCAUCUAAAUACAAACAAACAUAGACACAAAUAUUAACGUUUGAAACAAUUAGGUCUUACUUGUAGAAGGAAGACAUCCGCAGGCAUCAUCAUAUCUUCUUGGUAAUGCCCCAAGCUCUCAAGCUUAAUCACUUCCAUGAACUGCCAUAAACAAAAGGCGGAAAAAGCACAAGUUUAGGUUAUUAUAAUUUUCACAAAUUAAAACAUAUAGUUAUAUUGAAUUGAACCAAAAAAAAAACUAGUUAUAUUGAUUUGAUUUUGAGGAACCCUUAGUCCACUUACCUCUUCAUUCUCUAUAGUGUGAGCUAGAGGAAGAAUGACUUGACCUCCAAAGCUCCCUGGGCGAGGGAUUGGUAAGCUACAAGGCCCUGCUUUGAUGGCUGCAGCCGAAUAUGCAUCGAUGCUAUUAUCUGCCCAUUCUUGCCUAUGUUCCCUCAAGAAUCGCAGAAGAAUCGAGGGUGGAACAUUCUACACAAACAAAAAAAUACCCUUAAUGAUGGAUAAAAAAGGUGGAAAUUGAGAAUCUUAAUUUUGAGAUUCAAUGAGCUUAUUACUUGUAAUAACAUGGAAGCUUUGGCACAUAAAACCGCGCUAGGCAUAGAAGUGAAGCCAUUUGAAAAUGGGAGACUUGAAGUCAUCAUCAUCUUAGUAGGAGAGGAGUUCAUAAGAAGAGUAACAUCAUCGAUACCAUCGCUCUCUAGCAUCGACCAGCCUUCAUCACUAAAGCCAUUGACUGCUUCAUUGAAUCCUCUGAGAGUAUAAGAAACAAUUUAAGUUUUAGAAGACAUGUUUUAAAGUGAUUUUGAAGGUAAAGAGAAGUGUGAGAAGCUUUUAAAUUACUUGCUGAGUCUUUGGCUAAGUGCUCUAAGAGCCGCUGGUCUUCGUCCCCAACCGGAUACGUUAGGCUGUGAAAUCUCUUGAGAUAUUUGUCUCAAGUAGCGUAGGGCCUGUAAGUAGCAUAAAGAAACCACAGGUUCUUACUUACAUAUUGUUUUUUUCCAGAAGAAGGUUGCGAUAAUUUCAAACACAAAGUGGUUUAGGAAUCUUACCGCCAUGGUUGUUCUUUGGGCUAGUAAAGUUGAAGACUCAUAAAGAGAGCGAAGAACUUCUGGUACACUCCAUGGCUACAGAAAAUUUAAACUAAGCUUAUUUAACAUUAUUUUAAAAAAAAACUUACAUAAGAAGAAAUGAAGAUUGAAAUGUGGAAAGAACAAAAACUGAAGUGGAGAAACAGAGGAAACACUUCAGUUUCAGACUCAUGAGUUGGGUUUCUUGUGAAAUAAGAAACAAAUAAAAUAAAAUAAAAUAAAAUAAAAUAAAAUAAAAUAAAAUUACAAGAAUGUAUAAUCGAGUGAAGGCUUUGUACCUCAAGAUCAAAAUGAUCAACAAUGUGGAGAAUAGAUCCACCUCCUUCACAGGGUCUAAUGAGGUAGCCACUUGGUAAUAUCUCUGCUCUAACGAAAUGAGGAGAUGGAGGCAUACUCGGCCCGUUUUGUGUAUUGUUCAACGACCGUUCACAUAUCUGCAUCGAUUAAUUCAAUGUCAUCAAAUGAUCCAAACAUAGAAACAAAAGAGAAUGACAUGAGGAAUAUGGUUUCAUAAGUAUAUACCACAAGACUCCCAUCUUCCAUUACAGACGUGUAACGUAGCAUCCAGAAAUCACGAGCUGGUGCCAAUGUUGUGGGUGCAUACAUCUUUCACAAGAAAGAACGAAAAUAAAAAAGGAGGAAGUUUUAGUUUCGUUCUGAUUCAAUUUCUUAGGUUUCUUGAUCAUCACUCAUCAAUACCUGCAUGUAGAUUAGUUCUAGGGUUCCACCAUUUGCAGUGGAGAGGACGUUAACGAUAUCAAGAGAUCUACAAUCACGCAACCAACAAGGCCGAUCUUUCAGGAUCUCUGCGACCUGAGGGAUAAAAAACAGAAGUGUUAUACACGUUCUUGGUUGAUUGAUGAGGAAGUAAUAGUUAGAAAGAAGUGAGAAUACGUACUCUUGUGGGAUCAAGACCCACGAGGCCACAAGCACGAGCAGCUAUUCCCGUGCAUCCAUGAGAAAUAGCAACGAUUCCAAUGGAAUCCGGACCAGGCUGCAGAUACAUUUGUCAGUACGUAAAGCAAUGAAGGAUGGUUGAAUCAUAGACUAAAAGACAAGCUAGAGACUUAUGUAAAGUACCUUCAUCCCAGGCAUUUGGACCCACUCGACAGCGGUUCCAGUGGCCUUUGAAAUGAACUCUGUUAAAGUUUCAUCCGCAAUGGACAAUAGUCUGAAGAAAAACACAAAAGGUUCAUUGAGAAUUUAUAUAUCAUUUCUUUCAAAAAAAAAACCCAAGAAGCAGGGUCCAUCUUUUAGCAUAAUAUAUAUUUUAAUCUUUUUCCAAAUAAAUAUAUAAUUAGAAUAAAAUUUUAUUAUAUUUCUAAAUUUACAGCCUAUAAUUUCAAAACAAAGUUAACCUCUAUACGUUAAGCUAUUAACUUUUUUUAAAAAUAUCAUUAUUUCUUUAAAUAUACCGUUAAUUAAAAAAUAUUUGAACAUGGUGCAAAGAUAAUUUGAGACUGCACUGCCAAUAAGUAUGAAAAAGGAUUAUUGACUUUAGCUUACCCAGCGUCACGUACAGCCACGAACGUCUUAUGUGUGCUGACGGACACACACGGACAGCCACGGACGUCCUGUGUGUGCUGACGAACACCCAAAGACGUCCUGUGUGUAAUGAACAGACAGCCCACGUGGGCCAAAAUCACCCAAACAGUCCACAGGAAGGGCCAGCGUGCUGAGUCCAAGGACCAGCGUGGUGAUAUGUGUACUGAUGGACAGCCACAGACUUUCUGUGUGUGCUGACGGACACACACAGAGAGCCACGGACGUCCUGUGUGUGCUGACGGACACACACGGACGUUCUUUGUGUACGGAAUAGACAGCCAACGUGGGCCAAAAUCACCCACGGACAGCCAAAAUCACCGAGAAGCCAAAAAUUAAAAAAUGAAUAUUUUUGGAGAACAUCAAAAAUAUGUCAACAAAUAGUUUAGGAUGUCAAGUGUUGAUCAAAAGUUGCUGUAGACAUCCGUUUAGACCACGAAACCCCAAACUUUGUAGCAUGUGAAAGACAUGGUUAGAAGCAAAAGAAAAUCAUGAAAAUUUACCCGAAAAUAGCUUUAACCAUUCUUAUGAAACAUGCAAAACAUCAGAUUCAAAUUCGAAGUAUUUUGUUUCUUACAUUAAAAAUACUCCCGGAACACAACCAAUACAGACUGAAAAAAGUGGUUUGUCUAUAUAAGGGGUAGGCACUCUUCUGAGCCUACCCUCAGUACCCGAAGGGGUAUGUAGUGUUGGACUGCUCGGUCCAACACUAUCGAUGGCUGGGUUGAGGUCGAUGGCCGGAUUGUCCCCAUAUAAUUUAUAUGAUGAUGCAUGCUAACGCUAAUGAAAACAAAGUACCUUGAGUGAACAACACAUGAGGGCGUCAGGGUGGUGCCAAAGAGACUUGAGAAGAUCGGUUCCAUCAGGCUUAAGUAGUUCAACGCCAAGGUAACAUCUAUACGAAUGAGAAAUCCAACGAGCGAGUGUGUGAGCUUCUGGUGAUGCAGGUGGUGGACGCAGGCCGCCACUUAGCUGAUGAGAAGAAGGAGAGAGAGCAAGCGCCACUCGUUGGACCGAUGCGAUCACACUUCUCACAUAUUGUCUAGCCAUUGAAGCUACAUUCUCUUGCAUAUGCAUCUCAAAAGCUAGCUGAAA
rnacentral:lncRNA from 1 species